rnacentral:lncRNA from 1 species
GGCUAUUGUUAAUUGGCCUUUUGGUUUACAAAGCACUUCCACAUACCUUAUCACAUUUGAUCUUCAUAAUAACCACAGGGCAGUUAUUUAUUUUCUUCACAUUACAGAUGAGCCAAGUGAAGCUCACAAUAGUUAAGAAAUGAGCCCACUGCAAAGAGCAAAAGGCAAAGUCUAAACUUGAACUUGAAUGAUCUUGCUCCUCUGAUCGUACAGCUACACUCUUCUCCUGCUGUCUCCUGAAAGUCAUCAUCAAAUUGGAAGCACAGUAAUGGGCCACUCAUCAGGUGAUGUCUAUUAUAUGAACUUUUGAAUAGAGACUUCUGGGAAUAGACAAAUAAGUAAAUAUCUAGUCCCUGCUUCUGCAAUACAACUGUCAUUUAGGAGAGAUGAGAAAAGAGCUUUCUGACUAACCCCUCUGUCUUUUCAGCUCUCUCUCUUUAGUACUCUGACUCCAGCAAUUCAAUUGCUUCACUAGCAUGCAUCUCCUUUGAUCCUAUCACCACUUUACUGUCACUCCCUUGAAUGAUGUCCUUGUCUCUCUUCUUCCCUAGUGGAGAUUCCAAAGUCCAUCAUUAGAGUAAUUUCCUUUUGUAGCAUUUUCUCUUACCCCUUCUCUCCUUGUUGGACUUGUCUGAAAACAAAACAAAACAAAACAAAAAAACCCAACCCUGAUUAAAUUUAACUCAGUCUAAUGGCACCUCUACCUUCCUAGCUGAAGAUGGCUGGGGAAAAAAUACACCACGAUGGUGAGUGGCCUUAGCUUAAACUUCAAGUUUGCUCUCAGAGUUGGUUGCUAGUUCCACUAUCAUUCCCUACACCAUUCACUUUCCUUCUGGCCUAGACAAUUAUUUUACACCCUUUUUCUUUCCUCAAAUAUCCAAUCUCUCCCCUCCCAAGCAGACUCAGAAGGGAAAUUCCAUAACCUUUACAACCACCUUUGUGCUCUGCAUUUGAUGUUCAGGUUCCUAGAUAAGGAAAACCCCUCACUUGUGCUACCUGAUACCGUGAGUAGCCUUGAGUCUUGCUGCUCAAGGACAUCCUCCAGCAAUUCCUUUGCAUUAUCCCCUUCCUCCUGUCUGAUGCACCAAUCCAGUUAGCAUGCAACCAUUGCUAUUUAUAUCCCCGUCUUAAAAUAAUCCCUGCUGUGACCCCUCUUUGCCCCUAAGUUUCUUCUUUAUUUCUCUAUUCUCCUUUUGUGGCGAUACUCAAGAAUUGGUGAUAUUGUAUGUCACAAUCUGUUUUCAAUGCACAGUUCACUCCAGACCUCCUUUCUUUUCCUCCAAAUAACCCAAACUGCUCUCAUCCAAGUCGCCAGUGUCAUCCAUGUUUCUAAAUUCAGUGGUCACUUCUCAACCCUUAUCUUCCUAGUCUCUCAGAAGCAUUUAACUAUGUAAAUGACGCACUCUUUCUUGAAGCUUCCCCUUUGCUAGGCUCUUAGGAAAUCAC